UAGCAGAAUGUCCAAGCUGCUUUUUUUCCAUAGAGGAACAGCCAUCGUGAUGGCAGGUUUUUGGACUGGAAACUAUAAUUUUCAAUGUCAUGAAAAAGUAAAAAUUAAAGUAAAGUCAGUGGUUGGAUAAAGUUUAAUCCAAUGCACCGAGCUGAGAAACUCAUUUCACUGGGUUACAAUAAAUCACAAUUGGGAAGGUGCUCUACUAAUCCAAUAGACUGAUUACUUUUGAACAUUAAGUGAGUUUAUUUUCUUGCAGGAUAUAGGAGGACUCAGUGACACAACAACAGUUACACUAACGAUUGAAGAUUUUGACAACCUAAACCCUUAUUUUGAUCACUGUCUCUACAAGGCAUCCAUUGAGGAAAAUCAGGUAAAUUAACUCAGAGGACAAGAUCGAUGCUUUAAAUGCAUGUCUGAGCACAUAAAUAAACCCUCUUUUCUGUCCAUGCAUAGGUAGGACUCUUCUCGGACAUCACUCCCGAGCCCAUAAAAGCUCAAGAUGGUGACACGGGCAUCAACGAGCCUGUAGUUUACAGCAUAACAUCAGUCAUUCCAAAUGAAUAUCAGAACAGCUUUGAUAUCGACCGAAACAGUGGGGUCAUCUCUGUGACGACGGCACUAGACAGAGAGCAAACAGGGCAGAUUGCUGUUUUCAUACAGGUAUCAGAAGUUUCUUAUGAAUCUGAAGAGAUUUCAGUACUGUGUUUGUAUAUAUUUUCUAAACAGCGUUUCCUUGUAAAAACAGGCAGCUCAGCAGGAUGACGCCAGUAAGACGGCUGAUGCUGUUGUACUCGUCACCAUUGUGGAUGUGAUUGACAACCUGCCGAAAUUUGACCAGGGGGUCCAUUCUUCACACCUUGCUUAAUACAUGCGAGAUGAUCUGACAGAUGUCAGAUCUUUUAAUCAUGAUAACUGAUUUCUGGCUGAUUUGUUUCUUCAAGCAAGUUAGCAGAUUUGAUUAAAAUGUCUGGAUUAAGUUGUCUGAGAUUACUUUGUGUUGUCGUGUUCAUUGGAAAGGGCAGAUAUAUCGAUACUCGAAACCAGAAUCAGCAAUGCAGUGACCACAGCUACUAGAUAAAUAAAAUGUCAUUUUUUAAAUGAUUCCCA
ensembl:lncRNA